AGCCGCAGUCGACGAUUCCUACGGGAGGCAGCAGUGAGGAAUAUUGGGCAAUGGGCGAAAGCCUGACCCAGCCACGCCGCGUGAGUGAUGAAGGCCUUCGGGUCGUAAAGCUCUGUGGGGAGGGACGAAAAAUCUCCAUUCGAAUAGGAUGGAGACCUGACGGUACCUCCUUAGCAAGCACCGGCUAACUCUGUGCCAGCAGCCGCGGUAAUACAGAGGGUGCGAACGUUGCUCGGAUUUACUGGGCGUAAAGCGCGUGUAGGCGGACUCGCAAGUCGGUUGUGAAAUCCCUGGGCUUAACCUAGGAACUGCAUCCGAAACUGCUUGUCUUGAGUAAUGGAGAGGGUGGCGGAAUUCCCGGUGUAGAGGUGAAAUUCGUAGAUAUCGGGAGGAACAUCAGUGGCGAAGGCGGCCACCUGGACAUUUACUGACGCUGAGACGCGAAAGCGUGGGGAGCAAACAGGAUUAGAUACCCUGGUAGUCCACGCCGUAAACGAUGAGCAUUAGGUGCAGCGGAUAUUGACCUCUGCUGUGCCGUAGCUAACGCGUUAAAUGCUCCGCCUGGGGAGUACGGCCGCAAGGCUAAAACUCAAAUGAAUUGACGG
rnacentral:rRNA from 1 species